UCACGGGGAUCAGCAAUUUCUCGGCUUGAAAGCGGCCGAGCAGGACCCCGCCCAGGCCGCUGGCUCAGGCCCAGCUGUACCCACCGGGCCACGGGUCCUGCGGUGAUGAGCCCUUUGAAGAAAGGAUUCUUCCAUCUGCUAAGUGAGGGGAAAUUCAACCUCAACCGUCCAAGGCAAAGGAGGAUUUAUUGGCUCAGGGAACUAGAAGAAAAAAGGUUUGUGGAAGAGGCUGACUCAGACAGGACUGUCCUGGGCCCCGGGGGGAGAGGAAUGUUUUACCUGCGCCUGUUGUUUUCACGGCAAGUUUGUUAAGGUCAUGAACAACUCUGGCUUGAAAGGACCACAGGAUCUCACCGUAACCCAGGUGUCGGCUGGUCGAUGUCCCCAAAUCCCGCAUCUACGGGGAGUCUAAAGCCGACCUCAAGGGGCUGCGUGAGGUGGGGCCCGUUUUCCCGUUUUACAGACAAGGAAGUCGAGGAGGGGUCAGGAGAAGGGACUUGAAGGUAAGUGGAGAUAUUUGGGUUCCUCUGGUGCUGUUUCCCCCCAGAGCCCAAGCCCCUAAUCAUUGCUCACUGUUCACUCAAUUUCAGUCAUUCACAGGCCACCGUCUCUGCUUUCCCACACGCACACCGUGGGGAUGAUCCUUUCCCCAAGGGUGGACAAACGCUUCCUGUGAAUGGUGAGAGUAAGUCUUUCAGGCUGCGUGGGGCACAUGAUUUCUGUCGUGGCUGCUCCACUCUGCCGGUGCAAAAACAGCUCAGCCAGAGACAAAAGAUCACCGACUCCGCGUGGCGGUGUGCCAGGGAAUUGGGUUUACAGAAACAGGUAGUUAGCCUGUGGGCCGUGGUUUGCUGACCCCGAUUCACUCAACAUUUUUCUUUAUAUAAUCCCAUUUUUGUUUCCACUAAAAAAAUUUUAUUUGAAAGGAAAAUUACAUCAGUGGAGUAGAUGGAAAACCAGCACGUCGUGCUGGAAAAGGAUGGUAACCAUAGAAAUAAAAACAAUAAACCUAGACCGAGGGGCUGCAUUCUGCACCGAGCC